AGUCACUGACAUUAGAUACCCGUGUAGUCCAGGGUGUAAACGCUGCGGGCUUGGUGUUGGGGGUCCUUUGAGGGCGCCCAGUGCCGGAGAGAAGUUGUUAAGCCUGCUGCUUGGGGAGUACGUCCGCAAGGAUGAAACUUAAAGGAAUUGGCGGGGGAGCACCGCAACGGGAGGAGCGUGCGGUUCAAUUGGAUUCAACGCCGGACAACUCACCAGGAGCGACGGUUACAUGAAGGCCAGGCUGAUGACCUUGCCUGAUUUUCCG
rnacentral:rRNA from 1 species